rnacentral:lncRNA from 1 species
GACACUCUGGUGCAGCAACAUCAACAAGCGAUUUCCCCUGGGGGAGCGCUCCUAGCAGACGAGCCCCUGCACAGAAAAGGUGCUGGUCACACCAAGGGCACCGUGUGGGAGAGGGGCCUGUCCAGGAGGAGGCGAGAGCACAAUGGCCUCAGGAGUGGACGUCAGUCGGCUUCACCUACAGCAUCCUGAGCACGAGGGACCGAACAUCCACUGCCAAACAUGGCCAUUCUCACAGAUUCACGGAAUUGUGAUCAAGGGGCUUCCUCCAGUCCCCACAUCAAAGCCUUGACAUUCACAAGACUGUCCUAUCCCUGUGUGUGUGGCUCCAGUAAGUGGGGAAGGAGGUGAUGCUGAUGGAGGAGAUGAGCCGGGAAGCAACGCUGGUGGAGGAGAUGCUUGAGACUCACGAGGAGGCUGUCGGAACACAGUGGCAUGUGCAAGCUUGAGGUCGCAGCGUGGAGCCCUGUCUGAGAAUGAGGACUGGGACAUCAGCAUCCAUUAGACGUGUCUUCAGCGUUUAAUGCCCCUCCUGGGUUCUCUCAGCCCUUCUCUGCUUUCUCUCCGAGCCCCCUCAUCCCUCACCAGAGGUCACCACUUUCCUCACCAGCUGUCUGCCCGGAGCUCCACUCCAGAUGUUGGGACGUGCAGCUCUGAACACACAGGGGACCGGAUCCCCUGACCUCAGGGCCCCAAGGGUCUUCACAAG